UACGUAGGGGGCUAGCGUUGUCCGGAUUUAUUGGGCGUAAAGAGCGUGUAGGCGGCCAGGUAGGUCCGUUGUGAAAACUCGAGGCUCAACCUCGAGACGUCGGUUGAAACCGUAAGGCUAGAGUCCGGAAGAGGAGAGUGGAAUUCCCGGUGUAGCGGUGAAAUGCGCAGAUAUCGGGAAGAACACCCGUGGCGAAGGCGGCUCUCUGGGACGGUACUGACGCUGAGGAGCGAAAGCGUGGGGAGCAAACAGG
rnacentral:rRNA from 1 species